rnacentral:rRNA from 1 species
CCUACGGGUGGCAGCAGUGAGGAAUAUUGGUCAAUGGGCGCGAGUCUGAACCGGCCAAGUAGCGUGCAGGAUGACUGCCCUACGGGUUGUAAACUGCUUUUAUGAGGGAAUAAAGUGAGUCACGUGUGCCUUUUUGUAUGUACUUUAUGAAUAAGGAUCGGCUAAUUCCGUGCCAGCAGCCGCGGUAAUACGGAGGAUCCGGGCGUUAUCCGGAUUUAUUGGGUUUAAAGGGAGCGUAGAUGGGUCGUUAAGUGAGUUGUGAAAGUUUGCGGCUCAACCGUAAAAUUGCAAUGCGUACUGGCAGUCUUGAGUACAGUGGAGGUAGGCGGAAUUCGUGGUGUAGCGGUGAAAUGCUUAGAUAUCACGAAGAACUCCGAUUGCGAAGGCAGCUUACUAAAGUGCUACUGACAUUGAUGCUCGAAAGUGCGGGUAUCAAACAGGAUUAGAUACCCGGGUAGUC